CAUUUUAGGUAUGUGUGUGUGAAACAUCAGAACUGAAUAAUGGACCAGAGAAUUCAGAGAUCUUUGGUUACCUGUUUCCGGUUUCGUCGGUUCACACUUCACAUUGCUGCGUUCCUGACCUAGCUUCGCCUGCAUCAGUAGAUCAUAUUAUAAUAUGCAUUAUAGACUAUAGUUAUACAGCUUGAAUUUGAAAGAGCUACAUGGUUGUUGUUUCGAGUGCUUUUUCAUCUGCUGUGAUGAAUUGGCAGACAGCAUCAACGGUUACCAACAUAAUAGGUGCAUUGCAAGUUGUGCAAUGCUGAAUGCAUACGUUUCGUCAGUGACUUCCUUCUGCCUCAUUGAUGCGAAACUGAUAAUAAACAUGCAAGAGAAUACAGCUAUAGUUACUCUGGACUGCCAUGAUAGAAACAUUGAAACAGAUAUUGACUGGCUUUAGGUAUGUGAGACGUUUUUAUUGGUGUUGCAAACGAUGUAACGAUCACUAAAUUCUGUGCCUAUGUGAGAUUUGUUGGUUCAUCGAAUAACAUCAAAGUUACAGUUGUUACUCUACGUUUCCCUCAUUAAUUACUCUUCCACUCAAACUUCUCUGGGAUUGGUGGAAAAAGAAGAGAAAACUUCGACUGAAAUACGAUAAGGAAGGUAAACGGUCAAGCAAAGUGUGCAAGGUCGUUGAUGGAGUAUUCUAUGUGAAAUCCUCUCACCGGUCUGAGCCCCACCAACUGAACAUCAGAGGACCAACUUGCACCUGCAGACAUAUUUUUCAAGCUAUUGAUGAUGGUUUAAUGAAAUGCAAUGGGAGGACCUACCUGAAGAUUACAGAAACAUACUGUUCUUCGUAAAAGAUAAAGGAAGUGAUAUUGGGAUAUGGCCAGCUGAUGCAGAUGUAAACAAAUGCUGCGAUUAUCCAGCAUCAGAAGACGAGGAUGAAGAAGUAGAAGAUGAUGAGGUUGGAGGAAAUGGGGAUAAAAGAAAGAAGAAACGGGACAUAGACUAUAAAGGAGAUUGGCGGGAGCUUUCAAACAGAAUAA